rnacentral:rRNA from 1 species
GCUGUCACUCCUACGGGAGGCAGCAGUGGGGAAUAUUGCACAAUGGGCGCAAGCCUGAUGCAGCCAUGCCGCGUGUGUGAAGAAGGCCUUCGGGUUGUAAAGCACUUUCAGUCGUGAGGAAGGUAGUGUAGUUAAUAGCUGCAUUAUUUGACGUUAGCGACAGAAGAAGCACCGGCUAACUCCGUGCCAGCAGCCGCGGUAAUACGGAGGGUGCGAGCGUUAAUCGGAAUUACUGGGCGUAAAGCGCAUGCAGGUGGUUUGUUAAGUCAGAUGUGAAAGCCCGGGGCUCAACCUCGGAAUAGCAUUUGAAACUGGCAGACUAGAGUACUGUAGAGGGGGUAGAAUUUCAGGUGUAGCGGUGAAAUGCGUAGAGAUCUGAAGGAAUACCGGUGGCGAAGGCGGCCCCCCUGGACAGAUACUGACACUCAGAUGCGAAAGCGUGGGGAGCAAACAGGAUUAGAUACCCUGGUAG